rnacentral:rRNA from 1 species
AGUGAACGCUGGCGGUAGGCCUAACACAUGCAAGUCGAACGGCAGCACAGUAAGAGCUUGCUCUUACGGGUGGCGAGUGGCGGACGGGUGAGGCAUACAUCGGAAUCUACUUUUUCGUGGGGGAUAACGUAGGGAAACUUACGCUAAUACCGCAUGCGACCUACGGGUGAAAGCAGGGGAUCUUCGGACCUUGCGCGAUUGAAUGAGCCGAUGUCGGAUUAGCUAGUUGGCGGGGUAAAGGCCCACCAAGGCGACGAUACGUAGCUGGUCUGAGAGGAUGAUCAGCCACACUGGAACUGAGACACGGUCCAGACUCCUACGGGAGGCAGCAGUGGGGAAUAUUGGACAAUGGGCGCAAGCCUGAUCCAGCCAUACCGCGUGAGUGAAGAAGGCCUUCGGGUUGUAAAGCCCUUUUGUUGGGAAAGAAAAGCAGCAGGUUAAUACCCCGCUGUUCUGACGGUACCCAAAGAAUAAGCACCGGCUAACUUCGUG